AUACAUUUCUCUGCCAAACUCGGUAGGGCAGAUUUGAUUUGGAGCCCUGUCUUGCCUUCCUCGAUUUGUACUUUGAUGCAACUCUCCGGGAAACAUCCAAGACAAAUCCCCAUAAACUACUGGCAUUGCACUAAACCAGCUCUCUUGUGAAUAAAGCCAUCAGAGAGUCUAAUAUGUGCGCUGCAAAAAUAUACUACACCGAUAAAGUGCUUAUAUCCUUGUCCCACCUGUCCCUCCCCAAA